rnacentral:rRNA from 1 species
UACGAAGGGGGCGAGCGUUGUUCGGAAUUACUGGGCGUAAAGGCGCGCAGGCGGCCUUAGAAGUCAGAUGUGAAAGCCCCGGGCUCAACCUGGGAAUGGCAUUUGAUACUCUGAGGCUGGAGUACGGGAGAGGAGAGUGGAAUUCCCAGUGUAGAGGUGAAAUUCGUAGAUAUUGGGAAGAACACCGGUGCGAAGGCGGCUCUCUGGACCGUAACUGACGCUGAGGCGCGAAAGCGUGGGGAGCAAACAGG